GAUGAACGCUAGCGAUAGGCUUAACACAUGCAAGUCGAGGGGCAGCAUGGUCUUAGCUUGCUAAGGCUGAUGGCGACCGGCGCACGGGUGCGUAACGCGUAUGCAACUUGCCUCACAGAGGGGGAUAACCCGUCGAAAGACGGACUAAUACCGCGUACACUCUAUGUUGGGCAUCCAAUGUAGAGGAAAUGAAAUUCGCUGUGAGAUAGGCAUGCGUCCCAUUAGCUAGCUGGUGAGGUAACGGCUCACCAAGGCGACGAUGGGUAGGGGAACUGAGAGGUUGAACCCCCACACUGGUACUGAGACACGGACCAGACUCCUACGGGAGGCAGCAGUGAGGAAUAUUGGUCAAUGGGCGAGGGCCUGAACCAGCCAAGUCGCGUGAAGGAUGACUGUCUUAUGGAUUGUAAACUUCUUUUAUACGGGAAUAACAAGAGUCACGUGUGGCUCCCUGCAUGUACCGUAUGAAUAAGCAUCGGCUAACUCCGUG
rnacentral:rRNA from 1 species